AGAGUUUGAUCAUGGCUCAGAUUGAACGCUGGCGGUAGGCUUAACACAUGCAAGUCGUGCGAGAAAGUAUCUUCGGAUAUGAGUAGAGCGGCGGACGGGUGAGUAACGCGUAGGAAUCUACCUAGUAGAAGGGGAUAGCCCGGGGAAACCCGGAUUAAUACCGUAUACCUCCUUCGGGAGAAAGAAGGCCUCUCUUUGAAGCUUUCGCUACUAGAUGAGCCUGCGUAAGAUUAGCUUGUUGGUGAGGUAAAGGCUCACCAAGGCGACGAUCUUUAGCUGGUCUGAGAGGACGAUCAGCCACAUUGGGACUGAGACACGGCCCAGACUCCUACGGGAGGCAGCAGUGGGGAAUAUUGGACAAUGGGCGCAAGCCUGAUCCAGCCAUACCGCGUGUGUGAAGAAGGCCUUCGGGUUGUAAAGCACUUUAAGCAGGGAGAAAAAGUUAUAAGUUAAUACCUUAUAACCCUGAUGUUACCUGCAGAAUAAGCACCGGCUAAUUCCGUGCCAGCAGCCGCGGUAAUACGGAAGGUGCAAGCGUUAAUCGGAAUUACUGGGCGUAAAGCGCGCGUAGGUGGUUUGUUAAGUUGGAUGUGAAAGCCCUGGGCUCAACCUAGGAACUGCAUCCAAAACUAACUCACUAGAGUACGAUAGAGGGAGGUAGAAUUCAUAGUGUAGCGGUGGAAUGCGUAGAUAUUAUGAAGAAUACCAGUGGCGAAGGCGGCCUCCUGGAUCUGUACUGACACUGAGGUGCGAAAGCGUGGGUAGCGAACAGGAUUAGAUACCCUGGUAGUCCACGCCGUAAACGAUGACAACUAGCUGUUGGGAGACUAUGUCUUUCAGUGGCGCAGCUAACGCUUUAAGUUGUCCGCCUGGGGAGUACGGCCGCAAGGCUAAAACUCAAAUGAAUUGACGGGGACCCGCACAAGCGGUGGAGCAUGUGGUUUAAUUCGAUGCAACGCGAAAAACCUUACCUACUCUUGACAUACUUGGAGGCUCUUGUAAUGAGAGUGUGCCUUUUGGAACCAAGAUACAGGUGCUGCAUGGCUGUCGUCAGCUCGUGUCGUGAGAUGUUCCGUUAAGUCGGAUAACGAGCGCAACCCUUACCCUUAUUUGCCAGCGA
rnacentral:rRNA from 1 species